UGGGGAAUAUUGGACAAUGGGCGCAAGCCUGAUCCAGCCAUGCCGCGUGAGUGAUGAAGGCCCUAGGGUUGUAAAGCUCUUUCACCGGUGAAGAUAAUGACGGUAACCGGAGAAGAAGCCCCGGCUAACUUCGUGCCAGCAGCCGCGGUAAUACGAAGGGGGCUAGCGUUGUUCGGAUUUACUGGGCGUAAAGCGCACGUAGGCGGACUUUUAAGUCAGGGGUGAAAUCCCGGGGCUCAACCCCGGAACUGCCUUUGAUACUGGAAGUCUUGGGUAUGGUAGAGGGGGGGGGAAUUCCGGGUGUAGAGGUGAAAUUCUCAGAUAUUCGGGGAAAAACCAGUGGCGAGGCGGCUCACUGGACCAUUACUGACGCUGAGGUGCGAAAGCGGGGGGAGCAAACAGG
rnacentral:rRNA from 1 species